AGAGACCAUAGUUGAGACUGAGCUCCUGUUCCAGGUGAAGAAGUAGACAUGGUUCCUACUCUGCAGAGGACAUUGUCACUGGCACCGCAGUGCACAAUAUCCCCAAAGAACAUCCAUCUUACAGGAAUGGUUUGCUCUCUGUGGAUGAAAAAUGGCCCAAGUUCAGGAUGAGAAGGCAGCGCAUAUUCAGUGCUGAAGCCUGUCUUGCACAGGUAACUGGGGAUAACAGUGACUCAUCCACUGAUGAAAUCUUAUCCCAAGGCAGUGAGGAUGCUGACUUUGGAGGAAGCUUCACCCGACUUAGAUGGGGAGGAGUUGGUGCCACAAGCACAAGUGAUGCCAACACUUCCAGUGGGAAAAGGAGGAGGACACAAUGGUGGAAACAUUCCCUCUGUUUCUUUCACAAGAUACCUGGACUCUUAUCAUAAGAGAAACAAACAGGGAGUGGAAAGAAGAUUCAGGGAGUGGAAAGAAGAUAGAAAGGAGUGGAAAAAGCUGGACAAAACAAAGCUGAAAGCCUACCUUGCCCUCCUACUGCUGAGUGGUCUAUACCAUGGUGGUCAUGAGGAACUGGAGGAGUUGUGGGAGCAAUGCACUGGGUAUCCUUACUUCCGUGCCACCACCAGUUUAAAACAAUUCUGUCAAAUCACCAACUGCAUGAUAUUUGACAACAAACUGACACAUGAGGAAAGGAGAGGUAUGGGCAAGCUUGAUGCCUUCAGAGAGAUUUGGACACAAUUUGUGGAGCAGCUGAGGAAAUGGUAUAUUCCAGGAAUAUACCUGAUGGUUGAUGAGCAGCUCAUUACGUUCAGGAGUCACUGUCCUUUCAGACAGUAUAUGCCCAGCAAGCCUGCCAAAUAUGGCUUCAAAAUUUGGUAGUGCUGUGAUCUUGGCACCCAGGUCAUUGAAAAACUGGUUCAUACCUGGUACAAGAUGGGAAGGAAGAUUGUGGGUGACAAUUUCUUCACAAGUACUGACCUGACAGAAAGACUGCUACAGCAGGACUUGACCUAUGUGGCUACAAUUCAGAAAAACAAGGCUGAUAUCCCAAAUGAAAUGCAAACAAAUCAAAGAAGGGAAACUUUUUCAUUUCUUUUUGCUUUUGAUGGAGAACUCACCCUAGUUUCCUGUGUUCCAAAGAACUCCAAAGUUGUGCUGUUGCUGUCAAGCAUGCACCAUGACCUGUCAGUGGGUGGAGAGCAAAAAAAGCUGAACAUCAUCCACAACUAUAAUAAAAACAAGGGUGGGGUGUAUAACCUUUGCCACUUAGUCUGUAUAACUACCUGCAGACAGAAAAAUCAACAGGUGGUCAAUGACACUAUAUUUCAAUAUGCUGGACGUGGCUGGCAUAUUGCCAGCCUCAUCAUUUAGCUAGGCCACAAUGCGAACUGGAAGCAAAGAUCACAUUUAAGAAGAUGGCACCUUUUUUUGCAGGAGCUCAGAGAACAGCUAAUUGAUGGACAAAUAAAAUGAAGAAUGCUGGAUACACGUAAUCUGUCUAAAUCCAUCAAGUCUGGUAUGACUGCCCUAAAUUAUAAUUUGCAACAACGCACCCCGGUAGAACCUUCUGCAAGCAUGAGUGGACAUUGUGCUUUUUGUCCAAGGACAGAUGACCGCAAAACCCGGAAAUGAUGCGAAGAUUGUAAAUGACUUACUUGUGUGCACCACAUUGCAUCACUGCUGCUUUGUGAGGAAUGCAAUAUUUAGUUAAAACAGUUAGGAAAUGUUUUUGGAAGUAAUUGUUAGUUUGAAAACAGCGUGAACUGCAGACAUAGCAAAUUGUUCAUUCGUGUUUUGAAACUCUAAAAAAAGUUUAAUUUUGUUUAUAGUUCUAGUCAAAUAGUAUUUUGGGCUCAAAUCAUCAUACAUACUCUUUCAAACAAUCUGUUUGUUGAAUAAAUAGUUUUUGGUACAUUUA